rnacentral:lncRNA from 1 species
UUUUUUCUUUUUGAUUUCACUAGCAAAAUCAGAAUCGUAAUCAGAAGGGGUUUCAAUAAUUUUCCCCUUCCUCUUCUUCCCCUUUUGAUUUGCCUGGAUUGCCCUUUUCUUUACUUCAUUUUUUUUCUCUUUCCGAUCCUUCAACUGAGAUGAACCACCCGUUGCCUGAUUUUCAAUAUUCGCCGGAUUUUCAACAAAUUUAGGCGGGGGGUUGAGUUAAUAUAUUAAAAGUUGGAGCAUGAACUUCAUCAGUAGAAGUUCCUUCAACCA